UGAGGAAUAUUGGUCAAUGGACGGAAGUCUGAACCAGCCAAGUAGCGUGAAGGAUGACUGCCCUCUGGGUUGUAAACUUCUUUUAUACGGGAAUAACAUGAGGUACGCGUACCUUAUUGCAUGUACCGUUAUGAAUAAGCAUCGGCUAACUCCGUGCCAGCAGCCGCGGUAAUACGGAGGAUGCGAGCGUUAUCCGGAUUUAUUGGGUUUAAAGGGAGCGUAGGUGGGAUAUUAAGUCAGCUGUGAAAGUUUGGGGCUCAACCUUAAAAUUGCAGUUGAUACUGGUUUCCUUGAGUACGGUACAGGUGGGCGGAAUUCGUGGUGUAGCGGUGAAAUGCUUAGAUAUCACGAAGAACUCCGAUCGCGAAGGCAGCUCACCGGGCCGGAACUGACACUGAUGCUCGAAAGUGCGGGUAUCAAACAGG
rnacentral:rRNA from 1 species